UUUAGUUUCUGUUUUGUGAGAACUCUGUACAAAGCGUUUUCCCUUGACCGCCUGUCCUCCCAGGCCUGAGAUGGCUUCUGUAGUGAGCAGAGCUGAAUAAACUCAAGGUUCCUUCUCGAGAACUGGGCAUCAUUGCCUGCUUCUCCACUUGUCACCGGAGAGUGGAGUGUCCUUGGAGAGGCUGGGGCCCCAGGAUUUGAGGAACUGCUCGGUAGUGGACCUUCAAAGACCUUAUCACAGAUUGAACAUAAUGAAGAAUCAUAGUCUUGCAGGAAUAUGGGGACAAGAGAGGAUGGUCACGUCCCCAGUCUCGGUGAAGGGAACCUCUUUCAAUCCAGCAAAGACCCUGUGAAGAUGUGUCUGUGAACCAGAAGGCAAGCUCUAGGAGGGCAGAGAAUUCAUCUGGAUCACCCUCUACUGCGUCAUCAGAAUCUAGAACAGUAUUUAGGAUCAUGGCUGUUCAAUAAGUUGCUGAAUGAAUGAAUGAACAGGAAGACUUGCGCCCAAAGUUGGCACAAGAUUUCUUCUAUUUGGACCCUCUUCAGAUUUUUUACUGCAAUACAGUUUCCUGAGAGAAAUGCAAAAAGGGGACAGUCUAACCAAAUAUAUGCUGACUAUCCCUACUGAGGCCCCUGCAUCAUCUGCUGUCCCCUGGCUCCCUCAUCCUGCCCCCAUCCCCAUUUCUGACUUGACCUUUUCUUCUGGCAAUUCAGGGCAGUGCCAGACCUCAGCAGCCUUUCUUUCCCCUAAUAUUUGGGGCCACCCUGAGCCUGCCUGGACCCCUGGGGUGCGUGCCAAAUAGAAAAUGCAUGUACAUCAAGUGUGACUUAGAAUAAGAAAGAGGACUGAUUGGAGCUUUAUAUCCCUGGACUUCUCCCCACUUCACUGUCCUUGGUGCAAGACUGGGGAUGGGCCCUUCACUCACGCUAGGGAUGUAAAGUUUACUGACCAAUACGCUAGGCUGCAAGUAAUCCAAAAGGCAUGGGUUGCGAAGAGAUUGAAAUAUGCAAAAAUCUGUUAGAAUGGUCCCUUGCCAAGUGAUAUUUGUGUUUCAUAAUUCCACCACUUCACAUCAAAAUCCAGCGCUAAACACACAGCAGGCUGGAUGUCUGAAGACUCAGAAAAGAACCACUGACACUACUAAAAUCAAGGGAUCUAAGCUCCCUUUGAAACUGUAAAGCCUUUGUUGAGGAAUGUCAUGGCUGUUCUGCCAUAACCCGAGGCAAAACCGGAGAAAUACCUUGGGGGCACUUUGUACAGCCCACUGGCCCGGCAGGGGCCUUGUGUACAUCCAGUCUUGAAAAUGGAUUGCCUGAUCAUGCAGCAAAUGAAGCUUUAUUAUGCAUUUGUCUGGUUGAGAAGAGAUAAAAAGCGUGGAUCAGAUGGAGUGAACUGUGGCCAACGUUUGGAAUGGGCUUUCCAGUGAAAAACAAGUUCUUAAUGAAGAGCGGCUUGCAGUUUCAGAUCUCCUAAGAGAGAGAAUUUGGGGUCUGUAAUUAGAAAUUUUACAUCAGGUGUUAGGUUCACAAAAUGGGCAGGGCACAUUCUGGAAGCCCAGCCCUGGAGGACAGCGAGUCAGUGUGUUCACUGCUGGCCGGGCGGCCCCAGGGGAAUGACUCGCAGGGAGGGUUGCGACCAGAGCUGGCCGAAGCCCAGAAUGUCCAAGAGCAACGAGUUAUCCAAGAAGAGGCAAGGGCCAAGCCCCAGAGAGUCUGGAAACACAAAGGGGCCACUGUUCUCCCUGACCAGGGCCAAGAAACCGCCUUCGACCUCAUGCUUUUCACUCAGUUAGCAGCAAACUCAUCUGUAUGGCUUUAAGGGUAAAAAUCUGGCCAGUGUCAGAAGCAGAUGACACAAAUGCAGAUGUAUUUGAAAGUUACCAGAACAAUGGGAAAUGAUGACGAUGUUAUUGUAUCGAGACGGCUAAAUGGCCUAGAAAUUUGGUGGUUUUGAGGGGGCUUCCAUUCUUCAUCAAUGCUUCAUCUCCUCGCACUGGAGUGCUUAUCUCUUUGCUUUUCCGGGGAGGUGUUACACAGACUCAUUUGCAUACAUGGUCCUGUGGUUCAUUCCGGAUUGUGAAACAUUCAGAGCGACGAUGGAUGAAAGCAAUCUGAAGCCAAUUUUGCCAAUUGAACUAUAGUGUUUAGCUCACGAGGUGUUUUCCUCAAUUAAAUUAGUAAACAUUGAUUGAGAAUCUGCCUAUCAUGUGAAAAGCUGAUACACAAAAAUGAACAGGAUUUGAAACGCGAGGAAAUGAAAAACAAACCGGCAGCCUGGAGAUUAUAGUUAAUCUUCUCUGAAUUGUCUCCACAGUUAGAGACAGGAAGUGAGCUAACUUACUAACAGCCAAAAAGGAGACUUUUUCUGGGAAAGCUCCCUCAGUAUAGCCAAAACAAAUAUUUUUAUCUGGGAGAAAACAAAAGUUAAAAUGAAUGUAAUACUGACCUUCACAUUCAGAUGCUAGAUAAGUCAAAAAGCUUCAGUAAAAAUACUGAACAUUUGCUCUGUGGUAGGUACUGGUUUUAUGAAAUUAAAAAUACAUGUCCUUAAAUUUAAGGACAAAUUUAAACAUAUUCUGUCAAAAAUGGAUAUAAUACAAAAGUAUGUUCCCUUUCCUCAAACCUCGUUUUGUUGCUGUUAUUGUUGUUUAGGAAUGUUAAAUGGAGAAAAAAUAAAAAUUAUCAUAAGUGAAGUUCUUGAAUUUGGCAGAGUCUAUCAUGAAUUCCUUGAGUACAAAACAAAGAAAUAUGGACAGGGUGAUGGUAGAGUAGGUGGAUUUGUAUGGUUAAUAGUUCACACCCCAACAGCACUGAUUUAUUAAUUGAUGGCUGCUGUGUCCCAGAAAAUUCUUGAAGACAUCAAGGCUAUGGGCUAACUGGAACAUCACACAUCUCCAAAUACAGUCACAUUCACAGAUUCGGACAUGGACAUAUCUCUUUGGAGGUUCAAAGAGAUUCAAAUGUGUAGUGAAUUCACUAUUUAAUCCUCCAUAUAAAUAGACUGAAUUCUCCAUUUAAUUCACUAUAUGUUUGAAUCCAGAAUGGUGAGAUAUCUGAACCAUUCUCUUUCUGACAUUGAUUCCUUACUCUAGUUCUUCUUUCUUCUAUCCCUGCCUACCUUCCCGCCCCAUGUCCAACACUUAGCCCAGCCAAUUUCUACCUUCUUAGGAGCUUCUGAGUGCAUCUCUUCCAGGAAGCCUUCCCUGACCACUGCAGGCCCAGCAUUCAGUGCGAUCCCUGGCACAUAAAGAGCUCAAUAAAUAUCUGUUGAGAGAAUAAAUGAAACUAUCAAACCAGGCCAAUGAUGAUGCCCACCUUCUCUGGAGUUACUGAGAAGUGAUAAGUUUUCAGUGAUGCCUGGAGAAUUUCUAGCAGGAGAUGAGACUAUUAUUAGGUUUGUUAAUUCUAGAAAACCUUUCCAUUGAAACCACACCAUGAAUAUUUAAAGAGAAUCAGAUGUUUAACCUAAACUCCUUUUUAUUCUCAAGGCCCAAGAAUGUAGGGAGUUAAAAGACAAAUUGCUUUACUUUCCACUGGGCUAAUGACUUUAAUUAACACUGAGCAAUUCUGGACAGUGGGAGUUUUUUGCCAUGUUGUGUUUUGGAAAGAGGAGGAUAAGGUUUUUCUGAUGAAAGCUUCCCAUUGUAACCAGGACGAGGAAGAUAAGGGGCCUUGUUCAGCUUGUAAAACUUCUCCUGAUGUAGAGCAACACCAGUUGGAUUGAGUAGAGAGAACUCAGCUUAUUAAAAGCAGUUAAAAUGGCACAUUCUGAGGCUUUGUAAUUGGUUUAAAAAUUGAAGUUGCUGGACUUUCCUGGUGGCGCAGUGGAUAAGAAUCCACCUGCUAGGGGCUUCCCUGGUGGCUUAGUGGUAGAGAAUCCCCCUGCCAAUGCAGAAGACAUGGGUUUGAUCCCUGGUUCCAGAAGAUCCCACCUGUGUGGAGCAACUAAGCCUGUGCACCACAACGACUAAGCCUGCACUCCAGAGUUCAGGAGCAACAACUACUGAAGCCCGUGCCCUAGAGCCCAUGCUCUGCAAAAAGAGAAGCCACUGCAAUGCGAAGGCUGUGAACCACAACUAGAGAGGAGCCCCUGCCUGCCACAACUAGAGAAAAACCCACGCGGCAAGAAGACCCAGCGCUGCCAAAAAGUAAAUAAAUAAAUGCAUGACUUUUUUUUAAUAAAUAAAAUUGAAGUUGCUAACACAACAUUGUAACUCAACUAUCAGUUCAGUUCAGUCACUCAGUCGUGUCCAACUCUUUGCAACCCUAAGGACUGCAGCAUGCCAGGCUUUCCUGUCCAUCACCAACUCCCGGAGCUUACUCAAACUCAUGUCAAUCGAGUUGGUGAUACCAUCCUAUCUCAUCCUCUGUCUUCCCCUUCUCCUCCCACCUUCAGUCUUUCCCAGCAUCUUUCCCAGGGUCUUUUCCAAUGAGUCAGUUCUUCGCAUCACGUAGCCAAAGUAUUGGAGUUUCACCUUCAGCAUCAGUCCUUCCAAUGAAUAUUCAGGACUGAUUUCCUUUAGGAUUGACUGGUUGGAUCUCCUUUCAGUCCAAGGGACUCUCAAGAGUUUUCUCCAACACCACAGUUCAAAAGCAUCAAUUCUUCGGUGCUCAGCUUUGUUUAUAGUCCAACUCUCACAUCCAUACAUGACCACUGGAAAAACCAUAGCUUUGACUAGAUGGACCUUUGGGGCAAAGUGAUAUCUCUGCUUUUUACUAUGC
ensembl:lncRNA